GCCUCAUGUAGAAUUCUGUGCUGACUGUUUUAUUUUUUCUUUCAGCACUGGGAAGAUUCUGCUCCGUUUUCUCCCGUUCUGCAUGGAUUCUGUCUCGAAGGAAGCCGUCUUUCCAAUCGUCCCUCUGGGAUAGCACUGGGAAGAUUCUGCUCGGUUUUCUCCGGUUCUGCAUGGAUUCUGUCUCGAAGGAAGCCGUCUUUCCAAUCGUCCCUCUGGGAUAGGUGGUGAACACAAAGGGAGAUUCAACCCGUACUAGGAAUCUUCACAACCCCUUUGCAUUCACCGCCCUCAGCA